rnacentral:rRNA from 1 species
GACGAACGCUGGCGGCGUGCUUAACACAUGCAAGUCGAACGGAAAGGCCCUGCUUUUGUGGGGUGCUCGAGUGGCGAACGGGUGAGUAACACGUGAGUAACCUGCCCUUGACUUUGGGAUAACUUCAGGAAACUGGGGCUAAUACCGGAUAGGAGCUCCUGCUGCAUGGUGGGGGUUGGAAAGUUUCGGCGGUUGGGGAUGGACUCGCGGCUUAUCAACUUGUUGGUGGGGUAGUGGCUUACCAAGGCUUUGACGGGUAGCCGGCCUGAGAGGGUGACCGGCCACAUUGGGACUGAGAUACGGCCCAGACUCCUACGGGAGGCAGCAGUGGGGAAUAUUGCACAAUGGGCGGAAGCCUGAUGCAGCAACGCCGCGUGCGGGAUGACGGCCUUCGGGUUGUAAACCGCUUUCGCCUGUGACGAAGCGUGAGUGACGGUAAUGGGUAAAGAAGCACCGGCUAACUACGUGCCAGCAGCCGCGGUGAUACGUAGGGUGCGAGCGUUGUCCGGAUUUAUUGGGCGUAAAGGGCUCGUAGGUGGUUGAUCGCGUCGGAAGUGUAAUCUUGGGGCUUAACCCUGAGCGUGCUUUCGAUACGGGUUGACUUGAGGAAGGUAGGGGAGAAUGGAAUUCCUGGUGGAGCGGUGGAAUGCGCAGAUAUCAGGAGGAACACCAGUGGCGAAGGCGGUUCUCUGGGCCUUUCCUGACGCUGAGGAGCGAAAGCGUGGGGAGCGAACAGGCUUAGAUACCCUGGUAGUCCACGCUGUAAACGGUGGGUACUAGGUGUGGGGUCCAUUCCACGGGUUCCGUGCCGUAGCUAACGCUUUAAGUACCCCGCCUGGGGAGUACGGCCGCAAGGCUAAAACUCAAAGGAAUUGACGGGGCCCCGCACAAGCGGCGGAGCAUGCGGAUUAAUUCGAUGCAACGCGUAGAACCUUACCUGGGUUUGACAUGGAUCGGGAGUGCUCAGAGAUGGGUGUGCCUCUUUUGGGGUCGGUUCACAGGUGGUGCACGGCUGUCGUCAGCUCGUGUCGUGAGAUGUUGGGUUAAGUCCCGCAACGAGCGCAACCCUUGUUCACUGUUGCCAGCACGUUAUGGUGGGGACUCAGUGGAGACCGCCGGGGUCAACUCGGAGGAAGGUGGGGAUGACGUCAAGUCAUCAUGCCCCUUAUGUCCAGGGCUUCACGCAUGCUACAAUGGCUGGUACAGAGAGUGGCGAGCCUGUGAGGGUGAGCGAAUCUCGGAAAGUCGGUCUCAGUUCGGAUUGGGGUCUGCAACUCGACCUCAUGAAGUCGGAGUCGCUAGUAAUCGCAGAUCAGCAACGCUGCGGUGAAUACGUUCCCGGGGCU